GUAACGCGUGGGCAACCUGCCUCAUACAGGGGAGUAACAGUUAGAAAUGACUGCUAAUACCGCAUAAGCGCACAGGACCGCAUGGUGUAGUGUGAAAAACUCCGGUGGUGUGAGAUGGACCCGCGUCUGAUUAGCUAGUUGGCAGGGCAACGGCCUACCAAGGCGACGAUCAGUAGCCGACCUGAGAGGGUGACCGGCCACAUUGGGACUGAGACACGGCCCAAACUCCUACGGGAGGCAGCAUG
rnacentral:rRNA from 1 species